rnacentral:rRNA from 1 species
AUUGAACGCUGGCGGCAUGCUUUACACAUGCAAGUCGAACGGUAACAGCACUUCGGUGGCUGGCGAGUGGCGAACGGGUGAGUAAUACAUCGGAACGUGCCUAGUAGUGGGGGAUAACUACUCGAAAGAGUAGCUAAUACCGCAUGAGAUCUAAGGAUGAAAGCAGGGGACCUUCGGGCCUUGCGCUACUAGAGCGGCUGAUGGCAGAUUAGGUAGUUGGUGGGAUAAAAGCUUACCAAGCCGACGAUCUGUAGCUGGUCUGAGAGGACGACCAGCCACACUGGGACUGAGACACGGCCCAGACUCCUACGGGAGGCAGCAGUGGGGAAUUUUGGACAAUGGGCGCAAGCCUGAUCCAGCAAUGCCGCGUGCAGGAUGAAGGCCUUCGGGUUGUAAACUGCUUUUGUACGGAACGAAAAGCCCUCUUCUAAUACAGGAGGGUCAUGACGGUACCGUAAGAAUAAGCACCGGCUAACUACGUG